rnacentral:tRNA from 1 species
AAAGGGAGACCUAAUUCGGGUAUGGGAUGAAAAAAAAGUAGUCCCUACCAAGAAUCAAUCCCAAAAGGUCGGAGCGAGGCAUAAGGCUUUCAAACUAGGUUCUGGGUUCACACAAGACCUGAAUCAGGAACAAGGGCUAUUAGCUCAGGUGGUUAGAGCGCACCCCUGAUAAGGGUGAGGUCCCUGGUUCGAGUCCAGGAUGGCCCACCUGCACAGGUGGCAAAAACAAGAGAAGCGAGGAAUCAGCACCUUAUCUUAUCUAUAUAUAAAUACAAGUAAGAGAGAAUGCUGGCUCUGAGUAAAGAGUCCAGAGGAACCUUGAAAACUGCAUAGAGCUAGGUGAAAAAGCCAAAAAAGAAGACCGCAAG